rnacentral:lncRNA from 1 species
UGGAGUGGUCCUGAGCUGGAGAAGCAAAAGAAGAGUUAGCGAUCCAUGGAAAUGCAAAGCUGACUUCAGGAGUUGUGGCUGUGUGCUUUACUGCACAGACCAGUUUGUUUGUGAGAAUGUGUCACCUAAUGCGAGUGAACCUACAUGAGAUCAUCACCCUUCCUGGGGGACCUCAGAGAAGAACUGAGAACCGCUGGCUCAGGUGUGUGGAGGAGGUUGCAGGACCCCGACUAGUACAGGUGCCAAGUUAAUUGAAUGGAGGAAGAAUAAUCUUUUCAAAUAAUGAUGCUGGGACAACUGGAUAACCACCUGCAAAGAAAUGAAAUUUUGGAACUCUAUUUCUCACCAUAUUCAAAAAUUAAAACAGAUCAAUGAGUUAAGUAUAAGAGCUAAAAUCAUAAGAAACUCUCAGAAGAAAACAUAAGGAUAAGUCUUUAUCACCUCAGAUGUGGCAAUGGACUUUUUAGAUAUGACACAAAAACAUGAACAACAAAAGGAAAAAUAAACUGGACUUUAUCAAGAUGAAAGCCUUUUGUGCAUCAAAGGACAUUAUCAAGAAAGUGAAAAGAUCACCCACCGAAUGGGAGAAAAAAUUUGCAGACCAUUAUAUGAAUAAGGUUUUAUGUCCAGAAAAUAUAAAGAACUGCUACAACUCA